rnacentral:rRNA from 1 species
GACGGAGGUCCCUAGCGUUGUUCGGAAUCACUGGGCUUAAAGCGCGUGUAGGCGGAGUGGCGAGUACCUUGUGAAAUCCCCGGUCUCAACCCGGGAAUGGCUGGGUAUACUGUCAUUCUUGAGGCAGGUAGGGGUCACUGGAACCUUAGGUGGAGCGGUGAAAUGCGUAGAUAUCUAAGGGAACGCCUGUGGCGAAAGCGGGUGACUGGGCCUGUCCUGACGCUGAGACGCGAAAGCGUAGGGAGCAAAC